AGCGAACGCUGGCGGCAGGCCUAACACAUGCCAGUCGAACGAACCUUUCGGGGUUAGUGGCGGACGGGUGAGUAACACGUGGGAACGUGCCUUUAGGUUCGGAAUAACUCAGGGAAACUUGUGCUAAUACCGAAUGUGCCCUUCGGGGGAAAGAUUAAUCGCCUUUAGAGCGGCCCGCGUCUGAUUAGCUAGUUGGUUGAGGUAAUGGCUCACCAAGGCGACGAUCAGUAGCUGGUCUGAGAGGAUGAUCAGCCACAUUGGGACUGAGACACGGCCCAACCUCCUACGGGAGGCAGCAGUGGGGAAUCUUGCGCAAUGGGCGAAAGCCUGACGCAGCCAUGCCGCGUGAAUGAUGAAGGUCUUAGGAUUGUAAAAUUCUUUCACCGGGGACGAUAAUGACGGUACCCGGAGAAGAAGCCCCGGCUAACUUCGUG
rnacentral:rRNA from 1 species